rnacentral:sRNA from 1 species
AAACCAACAGGGAUUGCCUUAGUAACGGCGAGUGAAGCGGCAACAGCUCAAAUUUGAAAGCUGGCCCUUUCAGGGUCCGCAUUGUAAUUUGUAGAGGAUGAUUCGGCGAGGGCUCCCGCCUAAGUCCCCUGGAACGGGGCCGUCAUAGAGGGUGAGAAUCCCGUAUGCGGUGGGCUGCCUUAGCCAUGUGAAUCUCCUUCGACGAGUCGAGUUGUUUGGGAAUGCAGCUCUAAAUGGGAGGUAAAUUUCUUCUAAAGCUAAAUACCGGCCAGAGACCGAUAGCGCACAAGUAGAGUGAUCGAAAGAUGAAAAGCACUUUGGAAAGAGAGUUAAAAAGUACGUGAAAUUGUUGAAAGGGAAGCGCUUGCAACCAGACUUGUCCGCAGUUGCUCAGCCGGUCUCCUGACCGGCGUACUCUUCUGCGGCCAGGCCAGCAUCANUUCGGGCGGUCGGAUAAAGACCUCGGGAAUGUAGCUCCUCUCGGGGAGUGUUAUAGCCCGGGGUGGAAUGCGGCCAGCCUGGACUGAGGAUCUCGCUUCGGCAAGGAUGCUGGCGUAAUGGUUGUAAGCGGCCCGUC